rnacentral:tRNA from 1 species
UAGCUCAGUUGGUAAAGAAUCUGCCUACAAUGCAGAAGACCUGGGUUCAAUUCCUGG